GAUGAACGCUGGCGGCGUGCCUAAUACAUGCAAGUCGAGCGAACGGACGAGAAGCUUGCUUCUCUGAUGUUAGCGGCGGACGGGUGAGUAACACGUGGAUAACCUACCUAUAAGACUGGGAUAACUUCGGGAAACCGGAGCUAAUACCGGAUAAUAUUUUGAACCGCAUGGUUCAAAAGUGAAAGACGGUCUUGCUGUCACUUAUAGAUGGAUCCGCGCUGCAUUAGCUAGUUGGUAAGGUAACGGCUUACCAAGGCAACGAUGCAUAGCCGACCUGAGGGGGGGGAUGGCCAAACCGGAACCGGAGACAGGGCCCAGACUCCUAGGGGGGCAGGAGGAAGGGAUUCUUCCGAAUGGGGCGAAACCUUACCGGGGAAACCCGGGGGGGGUAUGAAGGUCUUCGGGAUCGAAAACCCCGGUAAUAGGGAAAAAACAAAUUGGAAGGAAACGGUGAACUUUUGAAGGUACCUAAUCAGAAAGCCACGGCUAACUACGUG
rnacentral:rRNA from 1 species